AAUGAACGCUGGCGGCAUGCCUUACACAUGCAAGUCGAACGGCAGCGCGGGAGUAAUCCUGGCGGCGAGUGGCGCACGGGUGAGUGAUACAUCUGAAAGUGCCCAAUCGGGGGGGGUAACGCAGCGAAAGAUGUGAUAAUACCGCAUACGAUGUACUGAUGAUACCAGGGGAGGGUAAGAUCUUGCGAGCACGGAGGGGCCGAUGGCCGGUUUGGUUGGUGGUGAGGUAGAGGCUCACCUAGCCUGCGAUCUGUAGCUGGUGUGAGAGGAAGACAAGCCACACGGAGACUGGACCACGGCCCUGACUCCUCCGGUAGGGCGCAGAGUGGAAUUUUGCACAAUGGGGGCAAGCCUAGUCCAGCCAUGCCGCGUACAGGAUAAAGGCGUUCGGGUCUUAAUGUGCUUUUGUUCGGAGCGAAACGGUCUUUUCUAUUAGAGAAGGUGAAUGACGGUACCGUAAGAAUAAGCACCGGCUAACUACGUG
rnacentral:rRNA from 1 species